AUAUUGUAAGUAUAUAUAAAAAAGUAGGAAAAUAAAGAGGUUGAGUGAGGAGAGGAGGAAUAAUAGUUUGGAACGGUCCACUGUCUUAGGUUUUUCGGUGAGCCCAAGGUCUAAGGCUUUCUGGUGGUCCUCUGGCAUCCCAGUCCAACACUGUCUUCCCUACAGUUGCCCAAAGCACAGGGAGCAUGUGCUGGGCCACUGACACUUCUAACAAAAUCCAAGAUCCCAACUUUUAUCAUGAUCAGGAUCAAAAGGAAAAAAAACAAAAACAAUCUUUUAGGGUUGCGGAAACUUCCUUACUACAUUUUCCCAUCCUCCACAAGUAAUUUUAAUGUAAUAUAGCUCUAUAUACAAUAUAGCUAACGACCACAAUCUUCUAAUGAACCACGAGAGAUGUUUAUCCGGCUAUCUAGUUGUUUUACAUUUCCUAGCAACCUGUGUGCGUGCCCUCCAAUUCGUCCAAUUGCAUCCAAUCGGAGCGUUCGGUGACGUCAAGUGGGGCGAUUGGUCUGUUUGACGGCGUUCUCUAUUUAACCUGGUAACGAAGGUACAGUGCAAUGGUGAGACAGUUUCCUGUAAGUGGCCCAGUUGCUAUGGCAGACAUGCUGGAUCCCUACACCUUUGAUGCCCCUUCUACAUACAUUAACUUUAGUUCUUUCCAUGAGGAUCACAAUGCUGACUCCUGGUUAGACAGAGUGACCAAUGCACUUAAUACUCCCCCAAACCAGAGGCCACGCUUUGAAACUUCUGCUGUGAAUUCUGGUAAGUGG